UAUCGACGAACUCUCGUAUCUCGAAGCUAUCGAAUAAAGACAUCGAAAGUAUCUGUUUUCUUUCGUGCUAUUGUAAUAGAAAUCCCCCCUCGAGUUUACUCUCUACACAGAGGAUAAACAUACUAGAGACAUAUAUGUCCGUGAAUAAAUACGAUUUAUCAUUUCCUCGCCGCUUACCUUCAAAGCUGCAUGCGUAGCGACGGCGGUGCCAGCGUCCAAAAAGUAGAAAACAAAAGACGAAAACUUUUACAAAGCUCAGAAUUUUUCACAAGAUAGAAUACGAAGAAAAAAGUAUAUAUAUGUGUGUACAUAUAUAUAUAUAUAUAGGCACAACAAUAUCAAGUUAGACAUAGUGAGGUGAGUGAAGUUAGAGCGUAAUAAGAAACGAGAUAAAAGUCUUCGCACGAAAGGAAUUUGCUGUUGGGCGUACUUGAUCCUUCUUCAGUCAGGCAAGCGGAUUCAAAAGAGAAAGAUUUUUCUCUCUCACUCUCCCUCCUUCUUUUUUUUUCUCUCUCUCUCUCUCUCUCUCUCUCUCUCUCUCUCUCGAUGAUCGCAUAUAUAAAAUUAUGAUGUAAUCGACAUAACGGACGAGACACGUAAUAGAACGAAAGAAUAGUAGGAAAAAAACGUUGACGAGGAAGAGGAAGGAGGAAGAUAGGAGGAGGAGGAGGAGGAGGGAGUGAAGGGAGGGAGGGAGAAAUGAGGAAGAAGAAAGAGUGAGAGAAGAGGAUAUACGCGAAUAAGAUAGAAGGAAUUAGAAAGAAAAAAAUGAAAACAAAAGCUCUCGAUGAUCAGUUAUUCGAAUUAAAAGCAAAACAAAACGGAAAGGAACGACGGAAUGAAACGGAACGGAACGGAACGAAACGAAGAAAAAGAUAAGAAAAACAAAAAAGAAACGUUAAUAGAAGAGGUGGAAAAAGAGAAAAAGAAAAGCAAAGAAAGGAGAAAAGAGAAAAAAAAUAGGAACAGAAGAAACAAGAAUGUAAAAAAAAAAAAAGAUAUAUCGAUUACUUACCGUUAGGAUACGGAUUGGUAUAGUAACUGUAGAAUGUGAAAUCAUCGGUGAAUAAUCGUUUAAGUUCCUCCUGCAAGCUUGGAUUGAAAGGGAAAAAGCAAUUUCCCGAAACUUGAAGCAUUGGUAGUUGCCUCGAUUUAACACAAAACAUCGUGGCUUUUAUCAUCGAAUAUUUCUUUCUUUCUCUUUUUUUUUUCUUUUUUUCUUUCUUUUUUUUCUUUUUUUAUAUAUCUCUUCGAUACGAGAUUAAAUUCGUAUAUCUAUAUAUACGUAUUAAUUUGUAUAUAUAUAUAUAUAUAUAUAUAUAUAUAUACAUAUAUACUGUGUAUAUACGUUUCUAUGUAUGUAUAUAUGUAACGCGUGUAUUUGUGAGAGAUGUGUCAAUGUAUCGUUAAAAUCGAUGUAUAUAUGUUUUUCUCACGCUCGUAAAUGUGUAAGUUCGUGCGCGAAUGCGCGCGUAUAUCUACGAGAGUGUUCCCCGUGCGUAUGUGUGUGUAAAUGUACGUGGCGAACGUGAAUAUAUAUCUAUGUUGUAUAUAUAUAUAUAUAUGUGUGUGCACGUGUAUGUAUGUUAAGUGUCGCACGUUUUACACUAUCGAAAAACUUUCACCCGAGCUUGACGACUUUUCCAGUUCGACUGAAGAGAGUGAGAGCAGGGAUGUCAUCGGCGAUUGGAAGAAGAAAGGAUCUAGUGGUGGGGGUUAGGGUGCCGUAGUUGGGCCUACGAACUGAUGGAAGAAAAAAAGCGGCUUAUUUGAAUCCACUGGUUUUGAUUUGACAUGCUUAGAAUAUACACGUACACAUGUCGGCCUGUAAACGAGGACUAUCGAUUUCAUAAAAUACAACGUCGUUUUUCUCUCUUCCCUAUAAAAAAUUCGCGCGACAAACAAAAGUCGACGAAUGAGAGAAGGAAGCCUCUACUCCGUCGACGUUCGACCGAUAUAAAAAAUGUAACUGCAAAAAACAACGACGUUGUGAUUCGUCUAGAUAAUUCAAAAUGGCGUCGUCAAUGUCACGUGCUCCGGAUUCGAACACGUUUCACGCGGGAAAAAAAAAUAAAAGAAAGAAGUAGAAAAGAGAGGGAAAGAGAGAGAUAGAGAGAGAGAGAGAGAGAGAGAAGAGAAAAGAUAAAGAAAUUAAGAUGGGGGGAAAAAAGAGAAAGAAAAAAAAGAAAAAUACAUUUACGACGAGUAUAGUAAGAGGAAGCGUAUACGAACAUUUCUAAUGAAUUUCUAACGAUCUAUUGAAAUUAAUACGAAAAUUGAAUGGCAAAUAAAAUAUUAUUUUGUUAUAACGAAUUUCUAAGAAAUUUCUAAUAAGUAAAUUACAAAGGAUAACAACGAAUAUAGAACGAUCUGACCAUUGUAAACGAAAUCAUUGAAUUCUAAUGUAUUUACCAAUGACUAUCUAAGUAGGGAGGGAUGGAUGGAGAGUGGGGAAAGGGGGAGGGAGAAACGUUAGAAAGUCUUUGGAAAAGACUUAAUAUAACUCGUUAAAAUUCGAUCGGAUUUAAUAACGCAUGCGUUUCGUUGACACGUGCUCCCCCCUCCCUUAUCUCUCUUUCUCUCUCUCUCUCUCUCUCUCUCUCUCUCUCUCUCUCACCUUUGAUACACAUAUGCACAAAUACACACGUGUAUAUAAUUUGCUUGUUUCAAUCUUCGGUCAUUUUAAAAAUGGCGCAUGGAAUUUCUAUCGGCUGGUUCUAUUCCCGAGAAGAGGGGAGGGAGAGAGAGAGAGAGAGAGAGAGAGAGAGAGAGAGAGAGAGAGAGAGAGAACACGGUAUGAUAAUUAAAGAACGACGGAAAGGUCGCGUAACGAACGUCAUUGUCGUUCAGUAUGGAAAGGGUGGGAAGUAUGGGAAUGAAAAAAAAAAAAAGAAAAAAAAAGAAAUAAAAAAGAAGAAAAAAAUAGAACGGGGGUGAUGAGAGUGAUGGGAUUGAAAGAGUGGAUGGACGAGGGAGGAAUGGGGGAGAAAGAGGUGAGGUG